rnacentral:rRNA from 1 species
AUUGAACGCUGGCGGCAGGCCUAACACAUGCAAGUCGAAUGGUAACAGGAAACAGCUUGCUGUUUCGCUGACGAGUGGCGGACGGGUGAGUCAUGUCUGGGAAACUGCCUGAUGGAGGGGGAUAACUACUGGAAACGGUAGCUAAUACCGCAUAACGUCGCAAGACCAAAGAGGGGGACCUUCGGGCCGCUUGCCAUCAGAUGUGCCCAGAUGGGAUUAGCUAGUAGGUGGGGUAACGGCUCACCUAGGCGACGAUCCCUAGCUGGUCUGAGAGGAUGACCAGCCACACUGGAACUGAGACACGGUCCAGACUCCUACGGGAGGCAGCAGUGGGGAAUAUUGCACAAUGGGCGCAAGCCUGAUGCAGCCAUGCCGCGUGUAUGAAGAAGGUCUUCGGGUUGUAAAGUACUUUCAGCGGGGAGGAAGGUAGUAAAGUUAAUACCUGUGCUCAUUGACGUUACCCGCAGAAGAAGCACCGGCUAACUCCGUG